rnacentral:rRNA from 1 species
GGCUGCAGAAUUUAUAACUGUACAAAGGUAGCAUAAUAAUUUGUUUUUUAAUUAAAAACUAGUAUGAAUGAUUAAAUGAAAUAUAAACUGUUUCAAUUAAAUAAAAAUUUAAAUUUUUAUUUAAGUUAAAAAACUUAAAUAUAUUUAAAAGACGACAAGACCCUAUAGAAUUUUAUUUAUUAUUUAAUAAUAUAAUUUAAUUAAUCUAAUUAAAUUUAUAUAAAAAAUUUAAUUGGGGUAAUUUAAAAAUUUUAUAAAUUUUUUUUAUAUAAAACAUAAAUUAAUGAUUAUAAAAUCUUAAAAUUUAAAUUAUUAAAAUUAAUUACCUUAGGGAUAACAGCAUAAUUUUUUUUAAAAGCUCUUAUU